rnacentral:rRNA from 1 species
CCUACGGGAGGCUGCAGUGGGGAAUAUUGGACAAUGGGGGGAACCCUGAUCCAGCCAUGCCGCGUGUGUGAAGAAGGCCCUCGGGUUGUAAAGCACUUUCAGUGAGGAAGAACGCCUGGUGGUUAAUACCCAUCAGGAAAGACAUCACUCACAGAAGAAGCACCGGCUAACUCCGUGCCAGCAGCCGCGGUAAUACGGAGGGUGCGAGCGUUAAUCGGAAUUACUGGGCGUAAAGCGCGCGUAGGUGGCUUGAUAAGCCGGUUGUGAAAGCCCCGGGCUCAACCUGGGAACGGCCUCCGGAACUGUCAAGCUAGAGUGCAGGAGAGGAAGGUAGAAUUCCCGGUGUAGCGGUGAAAUGCGUAGAGAUCGGGAGGAAUACCAGUGGCGAAGGCGGCCUUCUGGACUGACACUGACACUGAGGUGCGAAAGCGUGGGUAGCAAACAGGAUUAGAUACCCUUGUAGUC